ACCGACUUGCCUGCGGGCAAAGCGCUGGCAGCCUGCGUGCUGUGGUCCCCGCUGGCGCAGGGGUGCUCGUGCUCCGAAACGUCGGGUUUCCUUACCCGUGCAGGUGCUGGAGGCGCUUCCCGCGGGGGAGCUCCGGUGCCUCCCCGCGCGCGGGGCCCGGCGGCCUGCACGCGCGGGGCUCGGGGCCUGUCCUGUUAGGUGCGGGCUCGGUUCAAGCAAGGCCCUUCGUUGCUAUGGUAAUGCAAAAUAAAAACCUAUGCUAUGGGAAUUUUAGCAAAAUAUCCCCCCCUUUUUUUCCUAAAUUAAAUUGGCCUGUGGUUCAGAAUUGUGUGGGCACACAGCACUAGGCAUGCUUGUAUCCUCCAGGCAUAGCUGCCGAGCAGCAGCUGGGUGGAGGGCUGUGAGCUGGGCAACUUGUCUUUUAUUCCUGAUACUGCAUAUGAUUUUUAUGUGACUUUGAGAAAAAUCUCUUAGCAUACUUCUCUCAAUCUUUAUCUGUAGCAGGGAAUCAACUGGUUCUACUGAUUGCCUGCAGUAACGUUUAUAAAAAGUUUUGACUCUGGUGUAAGUCUUGUUAGUGAAAACCUGUAUUUUGAAAGCAUUUGUUGAUGGUUGCUGUCAAAGAGCAAGGACACAUCAAUUAGGCUCUCCCGGGGGAUCGUCUCGGAACAGUUUCUCGUCAAUAUUUUCUGUAAUAGCUUGGGUGAUAGAAUGGAGUUUGCUUUUAUAACAUUUGCAAUGACUCUGACCGUGGAGUGCAGGACUGGGAUUUAACAUGAUCCUGAUAGAUUGGAGAACCAGGCUGAAAUCAAUAAGAUAAAAUUCAAGAAGGGCAAGUGUGAAGUGUGCCACUUAGGAAGGCAGAUUGCAAAAAAGGAGGCAAAAAUACUACAGAAGAGAAUCUCAGGAUUAUAGUGGAUCACAGGCGGUGCAGUGUUGCAAAAUAGUUGAGUGUUGUUCUGAGCGCUAGUAACAGGAGGAGCGUAUGUAAGACAUUGGAGGGUGUUAUUUCUGUUCUGUUUAGCACUAGUCAGACUCAGCUGAAGCACUCUAGCCAGUUUCAAGCAUUACACUUAAAGAAAAAUGUAGGCAAACAAGAUAGGAGAAUAGCAACCAAAAUUGUAAGAGGCUUAGGAAAUAGCAGCUAUGAGGAAAGACUGAAUUUGAUUGUUUGGUCUGGAAGAGAAAACACAAAGCCAGGACAUGGCGACAAUCUUCAAAUGUAUAAACACAUUUAGAAAGAUGACUACUACUGUAUGAAUAGCUGGAAUCUGAGGAGGUCAUCAGUCUGUUCACUGAAAAUUUAAAGAAAAUGUUAGAUAAAGACCCACCAGGAAUGGCUGUGGCCUGCAUGACCAUGCCUCAGAACAGGGAAGAUCAUUUUAGUGAUCUCCUGAAAGAUUUACCAGCCCAUGUUUGUAUGAUUUCUGAUGGUUACACGAGCUACAGCUGUCCUUUCAGGAAGAGGCUCAGGGCAUGACACAGAAAGAGAACUAGUUACACAUCACUAGAUGAUACAAUUAAUGCAGUGUUUCUUCUGUUCAAUAAAUCAUACCAAACUAUGCUCAUGAGGGUCUAUUGCUUCUUCCCUCUCAGCCUCUUGAUCUCUUAUAGCUCCAAAUUAGACUUUCAUCCCAUCCGUUGAACCUGGUUGUACCCCAAUUCUUAGCACAGAGCUGAGAACCUGGGGUCUUGAGGAGCGUAAGCUUUUUACAGGGCAACAGAAUAAUGGGGACAGGGACCAGGAUGUAUUCCCCAUCAUUCUUGUUGUAUAGCCAGAUCUUAUUUUCUCCAUCUAUUCUUUCUCUCUCCAGCUCCAUCCAAUCAGUGGAAGGCAGUUAAAAAGGAAGGGACAGAGUAGUUAUCCAGCUUAAGACACAGUGGAUGGUUGCACUUUAUUAAAAUAGGAAGGAAAAUAUCCUGUGGUAAAGACUGGUAGAAUUUGCAAAGAAAAUAUAACGGUUAUUCAUCAUCCCUGCUGUGUGGAUCAGUCUCUCCUUAACGUCUGGUUUAGUACAUGGUGUCCAUGGGCAGCUCACGGAGCCAGAUAAUGAGAGAAACUAUCCAUUGCAAAUAAGCAACUUUCAAACCCUGUUUGGGGCAAUAACAAUUGAAAUUUGUUACUUCUGGAUGGUGAGGCAUGAAUAUGGGUGUCUUGGAAGUGGCAUGGUUCUGCCUAUGGAAAAAGCCACCUUGUUUGGGCACUUCGUUGGCAGAUUCAGCAGUGAGGUCAACAGCUUCAUGGAGAGCCUGACUUCUGAUGGAGAAAUAAGUCAGGAGUGAGGUUACUAGCUGCAGCCAAUAUUAUAUCUGUUCUGGCAAAUAGAGGUCUUUUCUCUUCAGGCAUGUCUUGCCUUCAUCUUUCCUGAGCACUGAAUUCAUGUAAAAAAUGAAAGUGAAUACCUGCCCUUGAAGAUAACAAGUAGCAUGCUAACGGUUUUUCUGUAGCGAUAAGCUGACUGCACGGCAAACUGGCUGAGGACUCCUGGAGUAAAUCGACCACUUUGUGCUCCUUGAGGAAUUAGCAUUGCCGCAGAGAAAAAUUUUAAUCCCACUUUCAUUACUUUUGCAGCUUGCGGCUGCUUUUCCUUCUGUUCCUUUGAUUGCUGACACUGAAAUCCUCUUCUACUGUUUCUCUGGCUUUUUGCAGAUAAUUCCAGCAUCAUCCUGCAGGCAGGAGUGAUGCUGCCAGCAAAACGAGGUAACUUCGCAGCACCUUUCCCCUCUCACUUUCCAAACAAAACAAGCGAGUCAAUUUAUCUCUCAUAAGACAGAAUUUAGAUAUCAAUACAGCCAAAAGGUAAGAAUUUUCAAAACCAGGCUACAGGCUGAGGAUUAUUCACAGGACCUAUUCAUCAGACAAUUUCAACUAAUGAACACGUUACAGAAAAUGCCAUCUGUUUGGGGACAGUUUUGUAAACAGAGAUAGAGGCAAAACUCUUUGAAUAAAUUAUGUAUGGCAAAUUAUUCACCUGGUCUUAGAAACCUUAAUGCUUUUGUCUAGUAAGGAUAAUGAUACUAUACCAUGUAUACGCAAGAUGUUAGCCUAAAAGUGGGUAGCAGAGACUGCUGUUGCUUAGGGUUUGGAGAAGCUCAGGAUCAGGAUACAUUCUACCAUGUGUUGGUGGCAGAAAGUCAGUUAUUCUUUUCCUCAAACUAAAUAAGGAUUCCUUUAGGAAGAAGAAAAUCCAUCCUUUUAUUCCUAUUUAUCCCCAGAUCCACUUCUACCUUUAUUUUUCCUAUUAUAUGAAGAAAACUGUACCUAUCGUUAUGAUUGUGGUAUUGGGAAUAGACUAUUAAGAGGAGUGAGAGGGAGAGUAACCACUUAGUCACUGGCAGCAGCCGCAGGGAAGGAAGCAGCAGGUAUGUGCAGGCUCAACGCUAUCAGCCCUGCCAGAGUGAGUCCUACUGGGAAAGAAGGGCUUUAAGUGCUAAAGAUCAAGGCAGUGAUCAUGGCCUGCUCUAAAACUCUCAAGGUGUGGGCACUAAUGGGACCUCUUGGCUCACUCUAAGUCUAACAAGACUACCUGGUUUCAGGCAAAAUCCGUUGGUUGACGGAAAAGGGUGAUACUGGAAGUGCUAGUUUUCAGCAGCUUUCCUGAAAAGGACGUGAGGGUCUUGGUUCAGCAAGCUGAACAUGAGCCAGCAAUGUGCCCUGGCGGCAAAGGAGGCCAACAGUAUCCUGGGAGGUAGCAAUGGGAGCGUAGUCAGCAGAUCGUGAGAAAUGAUUGGUCCCCUUUCCCUGGCACUUGUUAGACCACUUCUAGAACAUUGCGUCCAGUUUGGGGCUCCCAGCACGGGAAAGACAUUAAUAAACCGGAGUGAGUUCAGCAGAUGACCACUAGAGGUUUGGUGGAUGGAGCACUCCGUUGAGAGGCCGAGGGAACUGGGCUUGUCCAGCCUGGAGAAGAGCUGCCUUUGAGGACACUAAUAGCUAGUAGCCUUCCAGUACCAACAGGGAGGUUAUCAGGAGGAUGGAGCCGGGCUCCACAGUGGUGCACGGCGGGAGAGUGAGAGACAACGGGCGCAAAUUGAAACAAGAGAGGUUCUGACUGGAUAUAAGGAAAACAUUCUCUCCCAUGAGGACAAUCAAGCAGUGGAGCAGGCUUCCAGAGAGGCUGUGCAGCCUCCAUCCUUGGUGGUUUUCAAGAUCCAACUGAAUAAACACCCUGAGCAACCUGGUCUAACGUAACGGCUGACCCUGCUUUGAGCAGAGGUUGGACUAGAGACCUCCUGAAGUCCUUUCCAACCUGUAUGAUUCUGUGUUUCAAUGAUAAUUACUGUCUGAAAUACUGAUCUCGUUGUCAGCUUCCCCUGAGGAGUUCAAGCUGACCUCUGCGGAGGGAGUUCUGGUCUCCUCAAGGUAAGCAGAUUGCAUGCAGCCUGGCGAUGGAGCCAGUUCUCUUGUCACUGUAUGGUGAUACAUUUCUUUGCUGAUUUAUGGCCUAUGCUGGUAUUUUUGUUGCUGGCUCUUCUUUUUUUCAUGAAUAGUUUCAUUGCGCUUAAUGCAGUGCUUUUGUAGCACAACUUCCCACAGAUAAAGCUUCAGAGCGUGUUCCUGAGUUUUACUGCAAAUAACCCAGUUAAAAUAGCAAUUUGUCUUUUCCUUGAAUUCACAGAGAGGCUUAGAUCCAGAAGUUUUAUAUUACAUGGUUGUAAUAGCAGGGGACUAGACUCAAUAAUCCAGACUCCUGUAUUUCUGUGCUCCUCACAUCUUGCACUUCCCCUUCACACUGGAAUAAUUUUCGGAGUGCCUACAAAACGUGGUCCACGUGCUUUCCACAUGCCCUGGCUGGGGUCAUGCCCCUCCCAGCCACACAGAUGUAACACAAUACUGUAUUACAGUAUUGCUUGCCUCCCUUGCAAUUCCCCAGUGCGGUGAAGUGCUCUGUGAGCCAGAAGAAUUUGGCUAAAUGCCUCAGAGUCACGAUCGCAGGCAUGUCCCAAAGCUCUCAGCCCAGUCCACCUCGUACACACGUAGCAGAUAACCAUGGUCUCCCCUGUAACAGUGUGUUCAUCUGUGUUGGUGCCUUUUUCCAAGGAAUGCUGAAGAUUACCUUAUCUACCCUGCUUGAGAAAAAAGGUGUCAGUUUAACCACUGUAGGUUCCCUUUUUUGCCAAUUGAGAUUCAUUUGACCAAAUGUGGUUACUCGCUUUAAGGUGCACAAAUAGACUGUAUCUGCUAAGACUCAACUCACUGUUGAAUCUGAGGUAAUCUGAGCAUUUGAUACCCACCUCUGAUCAGCAGAGUCCCACCUGGAGAUCACAGAGGGCUCUAUAGCAGAGACAGGAUUAAAUUUAGACAUCUUAAUCUGGACAUUAAUCAUUAAGCAAAACCAUCAGGCAUUCGUGUUUUGAGAAAAGUUUUCCUUUAGCUUUAUUCCUGGUACAGUUUUUUUUGUGAGUUUGGUGUAUGCGAAUGUGUGCUUGUGUAUGGGCAGAAUCAGGCUUUUCUACUGUGCUACUUUGGUUUGUUCUUGCUGAAAAUGGUUGGGGAGAACUGGUGCACGAGCUUCUGCACGCCCGUAUUGUGUUAGUCGUGGCAUUGGAGGAGUGAAGAGUAACACAUACCUCCUCCAUCUGCGGUUCUGGAGAUGUUAUGUUUAUGUUUGCAAGGUGGCCGAUGUGACUAAAAUUAAUUUAUAAACAUUUAAAAUUUUACUCCAGUAUCUCCUGCUGCCAGCCUCCCCCAUAUCCCCGCUGCAGAUACACUGAUACAUAUUCUGAAUAUGCCUUUGGCUAGAUAGUGUGCGACUGAUACCUGCGGUCUGCUGUGCUGAAAGAAGGAAAAUUUAUAUGUAGGAUGCACUGGUGGAUAUAAAUGCAGUCAGAAUAAAUUCUUACUGCGCAAAGAAAACUGGAAAUGAAUAGGGUCUAAAACUGGAAAACAACAAGAAGUCAGGGAUACAGCUGUGCAGAAAAUUCCUCUUCAUUCAAAUGAGCAGUGAGAUAUGGAUGUUCUUGAACGGGCUCAGGGGGUUUACUUUCGCCAAUGCAGCACAUGCUCUUGAACUCUUGAACUUAAUGAUACAAGCACUUGACUGUACAGCUCUGUACUUCAAUUCAGGCUGCGUCCACCCUUGGAAACUCCUGGAACUGCAUGAAUGAAUGGAGGUACCUCUGCAUGUGGAUAUUGUGCAUGUUUUGCAUAACCCCUGCCUAAUCCAAAUAUGCAGUUAAUGCACCAGCAAAGAAUAAAGAGGAGACUCUGCAUGCAGGUGACUCUCGUUACUUCGCAUCCCUUUUCAGCCUAGGCAGGCAGCUGUAACCACGUGGCACAUAACUGGAGAGCCACAUUUAAAAACAAUUAGAAUGCCAAAAGUUUUGUGAAAUGCAGUGCUUUAUUUUUUUUUAAAUUAUUGAUUUACAUCCUGUGCCAAUGAAACUAGCAAAAGUGUUUACAGAAGAGGAAGGCUAUUUGGCUGCAAUGAUUUGCAGGGGAUUGUUGUAUGGGAGCUAUCAGGGAUAGUGUAUUAUUUAUCAUGGCUCUGGCAGACUUCUAAAAAAAAAUCACUUUUUUUUCUUUUUUCAGAUUGCUGAACUGAAAGAGCCUUGCAAGGUUUUGAGAAAUGCCUUUCCAAGCGUGCACUUAAGCAUCAGUAUUGUUCAUCUUUAUGAGUAAGACUGGACGAACACAAUACUUAAUAAGGACCUCAUCCUUACAUUUCUCAGCCUGAAGCUUCCUUUGAAGUUUGCCCAAGAGUAAACUAGGACCUGAGGAAUUUGUAUUAGGCGAAGAGAAAUGACGGUUGGACUCUUCCUCUCUAGCCGGGAGUAAUACGACUUAGUCAGUGACCUGGAGGCACAUUCAAUUAUGAGCUCUCUGAAAGUCCAUCACAUAAUGACUUGUUAGAGACUUCCCUAACAAACUUCCCCAUGUGAUGCAGGAUUGCGGACGGGAAUGAUUAUUUGCUGCAGUCAAAGAGUAUGAGUUCAUUCUGAGUACAUACGGGUAGCUUUCAGACUCCUGGAAAACUCUUGCGUCUCUUCCCUCUGUGAGCAGGAAUUAUACCUUAAAAGUCAAUGUGAUUAUUUUAAAAGGUCUGAAAUGUUUGGGGCAAUCAUUUAAUAUCUAUAUGUAGAGUUGCAGCCCCAUUGCAUUAUGAGGGCUUGGGAUCUGGGAUCUCUGAAAAAGGAGAAGUUCCUUCCUUGUUUAUCCCACAGCCAAUAUCCACCUGUAUUGUUGCCUCCGGUCUUUGAGAUACAUCCUGCAAUGCUGCAAGGUUUUAGUAGCACCUCUACCAUGAAUGCUAAUCCUUGCUACUUUGGGCAGGAAAACCUUUUAAGAGAUUUUUCCAUGUUUUCUGGAUAAUUCCAGCUGCUGAUAAUGUUCUGGAGGAAGAUCUGUUGUAUCCUCUGUAAGAGCUAUAGCCUAACCUACUAGUGUGCCUGCCUUGUGCAGUUUACUGCGUUUUUAGUCCUUCCCUGAUCCCACCUGAAAAUCCUCUCCAGUAAUGCUCAUUCUGAGAUCAUGCUGGUCCAGAGUUACCUGUAUCCCUCUUGAAUAUUGAAUUCUCUUAUCGUUUAAAUUAUUUACACAAGAAAUUAAAGAAAUCAAGGUUGAAUCUUGAGCCACAGCACAUUUUAAGUUUCCAGCACGGGUGAUUUGUUUGUAUCUAUCAUUUUGAGUCUUUUUCACUGUACCGUGUGCUUGAAGUUUGGCAGCUAGAAAUUAAACCCCUAGAAUGAAUACAGUUACUCCCUGCCAUGACUCAGAACAGUCUGUCCAAAGUUUUUCAUCAAAGUGAAAUUAUAAUCAGUUAUGACAAAAGUGGCAGGAUGCCAAAGGGAUAAUAUAUUGAGCAGGAAGGAGAAAUGAAACUCCACGCAGUGUUUGGAGCAGAGCUUAGCAAAUUGAUGGCCGAGCGUCUCGCGGCGUCGCCAAUCUCCUGCUGCCUGAGGAGAGGAGGGAGCAGCACUCGGUGUCUGUGAUCCUCAGCACUGUCACGGUCAUAUACCAGGUACCUGCUAAGGGUAGAGGUGCUUGUCCCGAGCCAAACUUCCCUUGGAUCUUGGAUCUCAAUGUUUUGUGCCUGUGGAUGUGAUAUGGAACGACCAUAGCAGUCGUGCGGAUCCUGGUAUCGGUGUUAACGACAGCAGCCGCUCACAACGGAUGUGGCUGGUGGGGGCAGGAAGAACGGCAGCUCUACUCCAUACAAAAAUCUGUAAAAUAUUACCUUUUUGCUUAAGUCUAAGUCUGUGAAGUAAGUUGCAAAGCACACUUGGAGGAAUGAAUGUUGGACCACAUUUUCCUGAAGUUCCAAAUAUCUGAGGUUAGAAGAUGGUCUAAGUGGCUCAUAAUGUUUUAUUUUUCUUAUGCCUGUAACAUUUCUGGUUAAGUAGAAUAAUGAUCACAGAAUUAGCUUAAUUUUAAAUGUGUGUGGCUCAAUACUUUGCUGACUAAACUCUUUGUAACAUGAAGGAUUCACUCCAGGAUGAAUUUGGCCAACAUUUGAUAGUGUCUAGUAUGGUAAUUGCUAUUUAAAGAGAAAAAUGUAAAUCUACCUCCAGAAGGAAAGAGGAGAAGUGUGUUUAUUGACAACAGCACUGCUAUAGAGAUGAGGGACAUUUUCAAGUAGCAAUAAUAAAAAGAUACAUGCACUAAAUUAUCUCUGCUUGGUUCUGUCAUUGUUGGUCUUGUUACCAUCACUACCUGCUGCGCUGGUUCAGAACAACAACAGCACCGGAAUUUCUUUAGACGUUUGUCCUUACAAAUAACCCUAGAUCUGUGGAACUGGAUGAUUUCAUUUUACUUUGACAAUGACAUUUCAGUCUGUAGAAAAUAGCUUUUCAGUCUCUUUUGCAGACCACAAAUUAAAAGAAUAAUUUAUCACAGAAAAG